UUUUCAAAAACUCAGAGGAUUCAGAAUUGCUUCAGACACUCUUGAACUCUAUUACUGGUAUAACAAAUGAUAUUUGGGUCUUAUAAUGCCAACUGUUAAAAUAAUUCUUUACUAAAGCUAUUCUGUUUUUUCUAGGCACCUCCUUUAAUAUUUGUAAUUAAAAUGGCAAAAACAGCUGAUCCUUCUGAGAAACUGAUCAUCCACUCCAAAGCUCACAAAGAUACCAUUCUAGCUAAUUUUGAGGAACAAAGGAAAAAGGAUUUUCUUUGUGACAUUACUCUGAUAGUGGAGAAUGUGCAAUUCAGAGCCCAUAAAGCUUUGUUGGCUGCCAGUAGUGAGUACUUCUCAAUGAUGUUUGUAAAUGAGGGUGAAAUAGGGCAGUCAGUUUACAUGUUGGAGGGUAUGGUUGCAGACACCUUUGGAGUUCUGCUAGAAUUUAUUUACACUGGUUGCCUCUGUGCCAGUGAGAAAAACACAGAACAAAUCCUGGCUACUGCAGAGCUGCUGAAAGUAACUGACUUGGUAUGGGCCUGUACAGACUACCUGGAAAGCCGCAGCCCAGGUAGUGCAUUGCCAGCUCCAGCUGAAAGUGUUGCCUCUGUUGUUGCAAGUGACAGGAAAAAUGAUGAUCCACCAAAGCGAAAACGGGGGCGACCAAGGAAAAUCAAGGUUGUCCAGGAAGAAGAAGAAGAAGAAUCAGUAGCAAAUUCUGCUGAAGAUGGGCAGCUGAGAGAGAACAACUCCAUGCAAAAUGAACAAAAUUAUAUGAAAAAAGACACUGAAGUAGAAGAAACAGUUGCCAGUGAACAGGCUUCAGUGAGGAAAGAUGGAGAAGAAAUUGAACCUGCUUGUGGCUCAGAGGCUGCUGUUGAUCUGUCAGCUGAGAAAGAUGAAAACUAUGAUCCCAAAUCUGAAGGAAUACAGAGCACUCAGAGCCGUUACAGCAAACGUAGAAUAAGGAGAUCAAUCAAACUAAAAGAUUAUAAACUUCUUGGGGAUGAGGAUGAGAAGGGACUGGCAAAGAGAACUGAUGGAAAAAGAAAACGUGUGGGUUCUGAAGCUCGCUGUAAAGACUGUGGCAAAGUAUUUAAGUACAAUCACUUCUUGGCUAUUCACCAGCGAAGCCAUACAGGAGAGCGCCCUUUUAAAUGCAGUGAGUGUGGCAAAGGCUUUUCCCAGAAGCAUUCUCUUCAAGUCCAUGAGCGGAUGCACACCGGGGAGCGGCCGUACACGUGCACCAUUUGCAGUAAGGCUCUGACAACAAAGCAUUCUCUUCUGGAGCACAUGAGCUUACAUUCAGGGCAGAAGUCUUUUACCUGCGAUCAGUGUGGGAAGUACUUCAGCCAAAAGAGACAGCUCAAGAGCCACUAUCGACUACACACAGGCCGUUCACUGCCGGAAUGUAACCAGUGUCGUCGCAAAUUCAUGGAUGCAGCUCAGCUAAAGAAACAUCUAAGAACACAUACAGGUGAGAAGCCCUUCACUUGUGAGAUUUGUGGCAAAUCAUUUACAGCUAAAAGUUCACUUCAGACUCACAUUAGAAUUCACAGAGGAGAAAAGCCAUAUUCUUGUGAUAUAUGUGGAAAAUCCUUCUCCGAUUCCAGUGCUAAGAGAAGACAUUGUAUCUUACACACAGGCAAAAAGCCUUUUGCCUGCCCAGAAUGUAGUUUGCAGUUUGCUCGUCUGGACAACCUGAAGUCUCAUUUGAAAAUUCACAGCAAGGAAAAGCAGUUUCAGGAAGCCAGUGCCACCCCGAGCACCAACGCUCAUCCGGAAGAAGUGAGAAACAUUCUCCAGCUGCAGCAGUACCAACUUGCCACCUCGGGAGGGCAGGAAAUUCAGCUGCUGGUAACAGAUGCAGUACACAACAUCAACUUCAUGCCCAGCCACAAUCAAGGCAUCAGUAUUGUGACUGCAGAAAAUGCCCCCAGCAUGACGACAGAGCAGGCUGCAAACCUUGCGCUCCUUGCGCAGCCGCCGCAGCAGCUGCAAAACUUGUUGCUUUCAGCUCAGCAGGAGCAAGCAGAACAAAUUCAAAGUAUCAAUGUGAUUGCAAACCAAAUAGAGGCUGCCCAACCUGAACAAAUGCAUGUCAUCACUCUUUCCAAGGAAGCGCUAGAACAUCUCCAUGCUCAUCAAGGACAAAAUGAACAAAUCCACUUGGCGGGAUCUUCGCAUCCAGCUCAGCACGUGCAGCUGGCUCAGGAAUCAAGUCAGCAGUCUCACUCUAGCCACAAUACAGUUCCUUCCCAUCAAGUCAGUGAAGAACAGAAUCAAAGUGUACUUGUUUCUGAAUCCCAUCAGCAGCCUCUGUCAGUAAAUGAGUCAUCUCAUGAGCAUCCUAUCCAAGAUCAGGCUUUCUGAAAUGCUUAUAAGCAGAGGGCUAGGCCAGAAAAUGCUUCUCAUCCAAGCAGAGAUUACACAUCACACAUGGGGUUUUUGCAACAUAAGCUAUCCAAAGAUGUGUUUCUUGAUGAUUUUGGAUGAGUGACUCAAUUUCCUUAAUGAUAUUUGUUUUAGACUACUUUGUUUUUCUGGAUUGGUAUUUCUUUACCAUACUUAGUCUUCACAAGUAUCUCAUAAGCAAUUAAAGGGCGGUUUUGUGCCUCAUACACAUCUCUGCCUCCUGAGGAGAUAUUUAGCCCUUAUUUGUAUUUCUGAGUGACUCUUCCGAGAAGUUCACCUGACUGGUAGGAGAACAAUGUUUAGGACAACUGCGGAUCACAAAGUACUUCUCUGACAAACUUAGCACUAUACCUGAGCUGCUGUCAAGCGAAGACAACCAGUACUUUUUGCAAAGCUAACACCAUAUUUCUUAUGUUUAAUGAGCUUUCUCUCUGCAGGUUAAUGUAUAAUUCUCUAUGUAAUCAUUCCCUGAAGUGCAUUAUGAGUUACUGACUACCAAAUUCAUUUGGUUUGGGUUGAAACUGUUGCAGCCUUUAACUAGCCCCAAAUCUUUCCUCCUGUUUACUAUGUGCUGUAUACAUUUUGCUCCUCAGCAACAUUUAAGCCAUUGCACUUGAAUAUUGGCAAUGAGAUGUGAUGGUUACACUGGAGAACUGAAACCCCACCGAUUCUGCUCUGUUAGUUCUGCCUCUCAUUCUCUGUGACUGUGGGCAAGAUUUUGGCUUUUUCUGAAGACUUUGGUUGGUUCUCCAGGUGCAAGUUGAAACAAAUCCCCAAGAGUUUUUUUCAGAUGCUAUUUUGGACUGGAAGGAACUGAAACAGCUGCAGCUGCACCAGGUGGAGAAGUUUGGACCAAGAAAACCCUCUAAGAAUCACACAGAAGCAAAACUCUUGGGUCUUAUGUCAGGGUGUGUGUGCAUUCUUCAAAGGACUUCAAGUUUCCAAGAGCAUUGCUGCACAACCUUUGAAAGGCUUUCAGGGUCGUUGUUUAAAGGUGCUGCACAACCUCGUGUGCUUUCCAUAUUUUCCUUUGUGGUAAUUGUUUUCCUCUCUGAACUGAAUCAUAGCACAUCUGCCACAGCUGGCAAGCUAAUUCACAUCUAACUAUUGCCACCCACAGAACAGCUAUCCUCAUGACUUUGACACGUGAAAGUUCAGAGAUGAAAAGUGACCUGACCCCGCUGUGCUGAUGGAAGCCUGAACUGAACCUGCAGCUGUCCCACAAAGCAGCUUUUGCACAUGCUGCAUGAGCCAGAAGAGAGCAAAGCUGCCGCGGUGGCACAAAGCUUUGCUGUGGGAGCCGCGAGCCCUCUGGAACUGCUCCGUGCACGCGCUGCCGGCGGGAAUGAUGUCUCAGCAGUGCCCAGCAAAUACAGCUAUACUAUAACUGGAAAGGGAGAUGAAGGAGAGUCAGUUGAUGGUCCUACUUUUGAAGGUAUGUUUCCCCAUCUAUCUGACUGUGCAAAUGGUGAAUUUCCACAAAAAUCAAGUUGUUGAUCUGAUCUUAUUCACAUAACCUGGGAACUGCUUUUCAUCUCCCUUAAAGCAAAAGGUUUGGUUUUCAGUCAGAAUUAUAAUCUGCUUGUAUUAGCAGAAGAGACUGCUUUAGUGAAAACACUUUUUGAUCUGUCACCUUGUCUCUGUCCUCUUAUGUUCCCUAUCUGAGGCUCAGCUCCACCAGCCCCUUGUCCUUGCCUAAAUGAGGGAUGAUGGUCACCCACUGCCUAUUUCAAAUACUCACCUUUGUGGACAGGACCCUAGAAAUGCAGAAGUAGAUUAGCUACAGAUCUCCAGGCACACCUACCACCUGUUUAAAUGCUUUUAAAGUAACUGAAAAGUCAGCUUUAACUCUAGAUUUCCUGGACCUCAGGCAACUUCUCAGGCUUGGGCAAGCAUUAGGCAUUGCUGCCAGCAGCCUCAACUCUGUGGGUGGAAGGGGACUUCUGAGUCUCAUAAAACCCUGAAAGUCGAGAAAUUACAAACAUGACCUAAAUUUAACAGAAAAUGUUCCCUCAUACUGGCAUAAAGUAAUAAAAUGUAAAUAAAAAAAGAACAUUCUAACUUCUAACUUAAGAAAAACAACUCAUAUAAUUGACAUAAGCAUUUGGGAUUUUCUGUUUAGAUUAAAUGCUACCCAUUAAGACAUUUUAUGACAGUUAAAGCACUUUUGAAAAUUAUUUAUGCUCCCUUAUAUAAAAGCUUUCCCACUGGCAAUGUUGCAAACCGUUUGAGCAGGCUGGGCAGCAGCCAGCGCUGAGAUCAGAAAUGCCAAGUGCAGCUGAAAAGUUUCUUUCCCAAGAUGCUGAAGAGUCUGCCUGUGAGGAGAAUCUGCUCUCACCUCAAGGUCUCAGGUUGGAUGGAGCAAAAUGUAGUAGCACUGGCAAGCAGGAAAGCUGCUGGAGGUGGAAGCCUGGUGUGUGGGAUUUAAGGCACUAAAUGCUAUGAGCUUCUUGGAGUGGAAAGAAAAAGGCAAAAGUCACUUCUUUGAUGCUGGAGCUCCUGGAACAGGAGCAAGCCCAGGCUCCCAGGGCAUACUUAUCUCUGAGAACAAAACAUGAGCUGGUAUUGGAAAAAAAACAGGACUGGCUGUUGAAUUGUUUCCAAGGUGGGUGUCACCAAGGACUUAAAAUUUUAUGAAUCCUCUUUUCCAAUGAUGUUAUCCAAUGUAUUUGUGCUAGACCCCAUCUUGCACCUUUUGCACCUUCUGUUUGGGUAAAAAUUGUCAUUUUUAAUGACCCAUAGAUUUACUUGAUUUACACAUCAGGUAGAAACAAGUUUGCGUGUACCCAGGGGAGCUGUGGCAGCUCACAUGAACUGUUUGACUACAGCUCCAUCAUCCUCCUCCAGGAGGAUGCUUUCCCUGUGCUACUCAGGAAAGAAGCUGCCAUGUCGUGUGGGAAGGAGACAAUAUACCAAAAACUGCUUCAGUAAUUUUAAGGUGGAUUUCAUUUGGAAUCCGUCAACCUUGAACAUGUCCCUGCAAGAGUUUUGUUACCCAUAUUGCACAUAGUCCAUGUGUUGAUGCAUUAAAGGAGGAGAUUGCUACUUGCUCUCCCCCUAUUUAAUUAGAAGUUGCUUUCCACCCUUAAGAAAGGUGUUCCCUUCUGUAUGCCUUUCUAUUUUAAGGCUUAGAUUGCUUUCCCGAUACUUCCCGCAAACCUACUUUACCCUGAGGGCAGAGGACAAAUAACUUCGAUAUCUGAAAAGGGUGGGAGAUGCCUCUGUCAGCCAAUAAUAUUCUGGGAGAUUCCAUGCUUGGCACGUGUCUGGGCACUGCAACCAGCACCUGCUGGAACUAAUGGGACACAACCUCAUUUUACUGUAAUGGGAUGAAAGGACAGAGGCAAUUGCACAGAACUGCUGGUAUGGGAGCAUCGUGUCAAAGGACAAAACAUCCCACUCCAAAAUUAGUCUGCUGGAGUAAUUUUGCAAGCCACAAGGCAGCAGCCAAAGUAACUGUUCAGUUAAAAUUUAACUACUGUUUUUAUGAAUCAUUUUCUGAGAAAGGAUCUCAAACAAAGCAAGAAGAAUAAAAAAAAUCAGAGAAAAAAUCUAAAUAUUUCUUCACUU